rnacentral:rRNA from 2 species
UGGGGAAUAUUGGACAAUGGGCGCAAGCCUGAUCCAGCCAUGCCGCGUGAGUGAUGAAGGCCCUCGGGUUGUAAAGCUCUUUCACCGGUGAAGAUAAUGACGGUAACCGGAGAAGAAGCCCCGGCUAACUUCGUGCCAGCAGCCGCGGUAAUACGAAGGGGGCUAGCGUUGUUCGGAUUUACUGGGCGUAAAGCGCACGUAGGCGGACUUUUAAGUCAGGGGUGAAAUCCCGGGGCUCAACCCCGGAACUGCCUUUGAUACUGGAAGUCUUGAGUAUGGUAGAGGUGAGUGGAAUUCCGAGUGUAGAGGUGAAAUUCGUAGAUAUUCGGAGGAACACCAGUGGCGAAGGCGGCUCACUGGACCAUUACUGACGCUGAGGUGCGAAAGCGUGGGGAGCAAACAGG